CGUUGCUUUCUUUUGUCUGGCGACCGGCGCACGGUGAGUAACACGUAUCCAACCUGCCCUUUACUCGGGGAUAGCCUUUCGAAAGAAAGAUUAAUACCCGAUAGCAUAAUGAUUCCGCAUGGUUUCAUUAUUAAAGGAUUCCGGUAAAGGAUGGGGAUGCGUUCCAUUAGGUUGUUGGUGGGGUAACGGCCCACCAAGCCUUCGAUGGAUAGGGGUUCUGAGAGGAAGGUCCCCCACAUUGGAACUGAGACACGGUCCAA
rnacentral:rRNA from 1 species